rnacentral:rRNA from 1 species
CCUACGGGGCGCAGCAGUGGGGAAUAUUGCGCAAUGGGGGCAACCCCGACGCAGCAACGCCGCGUGAUUGAAGAAGGCCUUCGGGUUGUAAAGAUCUUUAAUUGGGGACGAAAACAAUGACGGUACCCAAAGAAUAAGCUCCGGCUAACUACGUGCCAGCAGCCGCGGUAAUACGUAGGGAGCAAGCGUUAUCCGGAUUUACUGGGUGUAAAGGGCGAGUAGGCGGGCUGGCAAGUUGGGAGUGAAAUCCCGGGGCUUAACCCCGGAACUGCUUUCAAAACUGCUGGUCUUGAGUGAUGGAGAGG